rnacentral:rRNA from 1 species
CCUACGGGUGGCAGCAGUGAGGAAUAUUGGUCAAUGGACGCAAGCCUGAACCAGCCAAGCAGCGUGAAGGAAGACGGCUCUAUGGGUUGUAAACUGCUUUUGUACGGGGGUAAACGGAGACACGUGUACCUGUUUGUAUGUAUUGUAUGAAUAAGGAUCGGCUAACUCCGUGCCAGCAGCCGCGGUAAUACGGAGGAUUCAAGCGUUAUCCGGAUUUAUUGGGUUUAAAGGGUGCGUAGGUGGUCUGUUAAGUUAGAGGUGAAAUCCCGAGGCUCAACCUCGGAAUUGCCUUUGAUACUGUUCGCCUUGAGAGCAGUUGAGGUAGGCGGAAUGCAUGGUGUAGCGGUGAAAUGCUUAGAGAUCAUGCAGAACACCGAUUGCGAAGGCAGCUUACUAAGCUGCUUCUGACGUUGAGGCACGAAAGCGUGGGGAGCAAACAGGAUUAGAUACCCGGGUAGUC